rnacentral:lncRNA from 1 species
UAUAACGACAAAAACAUUGUCUCUAUGUCUGUAGCAGAUGAGUCAUUUAUUUAAAGUCGACAUAGAGAACAUGUCCUUGGUGCAUGAUUGGUUUGAUAUAUCUGGAAAUCGCAUUUGACCAAUAAAAUCGAAGUUAUGGUAACGGUAACCAAUAGCAUUGCUCAGAAAUAAGAUAUUUUUGAAUAUCAAUGUCAUAAUCGGUAAACGAAAACAGAUGUGAUUCAAUCGUUUUCUUUCCAUCAGAAAUAUUGUGUUUCGAGCGAGUUUUUAUUUGUGCUAUAAAAGUGGUGUUUUGUUCUUUUGAUAAAGGUUUAUCUCCAGAGAAAGAGUAACGGGUCACAAAGCUUAUCAUAUAGGAGAGUAAGUGAAGGAUAAUCAUU